UACUUGACAAGAAAUCUGCAUCAAUAGGCAUAAUCUUUGCUGACCUCCCUUUGUCAUGUAGAGCUGCCUGCUUCAGAUGAAUUAAAUGCCAUUAAACUCUAAGGUCUGUGCCAGCAUAUCUAAAUUUUUGCAGUUAAGAAUCAAGAUGCGAGUAGAAUGAAACCGGUGAGUCGGACUGGGCCUCCUCGAGCAUCUCAUGGAGGCACCUGCUGUCAGAGCUCCCCUUGGCAUCUUCCUGGAACUCCUGAUCGGCACAGCUGAGAAAGUACUUCAGCUCGGCGAAGCCACCAUGACCGCCGAAGUUGGAGACCAAGGCCGUGCUCUUUUCCCCAUGUCCGAUCCAUUGGGCCGUCGUCUCCUGCAGAAAUGUCAAGUCCACUUCAGCUCUAAAACACAGAGACAUUUCUCCAUCUUGGAAUCGCAGAGCCUGCAGAUUUUCCCAGCUGAAAGCACCUGUCCAUGGAGGCAUGCGGCUGGUGCUGGUGUGGGUCAGGAUGGUUUAGUGUGCAUGCUUGUCUCAAGCUGCUAGUGGAGAAUCUUCGCUUUGCUUUGCAUUGCUUCAGAAACUCGUCAGGAAUUUUGGAGAUGGCAUGCCGGUAAAAA